UACAUGUUUGUUCAAUAUACAUGUGUCAGGGC
rnacentral:piRNA from 1 species